rnacentral:lncRNA from 1 species
ACUGUCCCCAAGUGUGUCCCCAAUGUCCCCAGGUGUGUCCCCAACAUCCCCAGGUGUGUGUGUGUGUCCCCAGGUGUGUCCCCAGCUGUCCCCAAUGCCCCCAGGCGUGUCCCCAAAUGUCCCCAAGUGUAUCCCCAAUGCCCCCAGGUGUGUCCCCAACUGUCCCCAGUGCCCCCAGGUGUGUCCCCAACUGUCUCCAAUGUCCCCAGGUGUGUCCCCAACAUUCCCAGGUGUGUGUGUGUGUCCCAAGUGUCCCCAGUGUCCCCAACUGUCCCCAGUGUCCCCAGGUGUGACCCCAACAUUCCCAGGUGUGUGUGUGUGCCCCCAGGUGUGUCCCCAACUGUCCCCAAGUGUGUCCCCAGGUGUGUCCCCAACAUCCCCAGGUGUGUGUGUGUGUCCCCAGGUGUGUCCCCAGCUGUCCCCAAGUGUGUUCAGGUGUGUCCCCAGGUGUGUCCCCAAUGUCCCCAGGUGUGUCCCCAGGUGUGUCCCCAAUGUCCCCAGGUGUGUCCCCAGCUGUCCCCAGGUGUGUCCCCAGGUGUGUCCCCAGUGCUCACCUUUGUGCCCGUCCAGCACGCUCAGGCAGGUUCCCACGGUGGUGGCACUG